AAAAAAAACAGCUAUAGAAGCCAGAAAGAGCGAAAACAAUAACAGGUGGUGCUCUGCUGCCUGUCUACAAGCAUGAUGGAUUACCAUAUGGUGGUAAAGGCGACUGAAAAGAGGGAGAGGUGCAAUUUUCAUCAUUCAUCACAAAGUUAAAGUUAAAACAUAAACAAAACAAAACAAAACCCUAAACCCUCGGCGCGGCGUCAUUUAUUCAUUUUGGUUUGUGGUUGGUGAAAUUUUGUUUGGUUUUUUUUUUCGGCUUCCACGAAAUGAAACGUGAUUGUUGUCGUCGUCGUCGUCGUAAUCAUUCCAAAAUCAAAUAUUAAUAAAACAAAGUAAGUUGAGGGAAAA